GAUGAACGCUGGCGGCGUGCUUAACACAUGCAAGUCGAACGAAACGCCUUAUUUGAUUUUCUUCGAAACUGAAGAUUUGGUGAUUGAGUGGCGGACGGGUGAGUAACGCGUGGGUAACCUGCCCUGUACAGGGGGAUAACAGUCAGAAAUGAUUGCUAAUACCGCAUAAGACCACAGCACCGCAUGGUGCAGGGGUAAAAACUCCGGUGGUACAGGAUGGACCCGCGUCUGAUUAGCUGGUUGGUGAGGUAACGGCUCACCAAGGCGACGAUCAGUAGCCGGCUUGAGAGAGUGAACGGCCACAUUGGGACUGAGACACGGCCCAAACUCCUACGGGAGGCAGCAGUGGGGAAUAUUGCACAAUGGGGGAAACCCUGAUGCAGCGACGCCGCGUGAGUGAAGAAGUAUCUCGGUAUGUAAAGCUCUAUCAGCAGGGAAGAAAAUGACGGUACCUGACUAAGAAGCCCCGGCUAACUACGUGCCAGCCGCCGCCGUAA
rnacentral:rRNA from 1 species